rnacentral:rRNA from 1 species
UACAGAGGUCUCAAGCGUUUGUCCGGAAUUAUUGGGCGUAAAGAGCUCGUAGGCGGUUUGUCGCGUCUGCUGUGAAAAACUCGGGGGCUUAACCCCCGGGCCUGCAGUGGGUACGGGCAGACUAGAGUGCGGUAGGGGAGACUGGAAUUCCUGGUGUAGCGGUGAAAUGCGCAGAUAUCAGGAGGAACACCGGUGGCGAAGGCGGGGUCUCUGGGCCGUAACUGACGCUGAGGAGCGAAAGCGUGGGGAGCGAACAGG